GAGGUUUCCAAGUGGCCCCCAGUUGCCUCUUUUCCUCCAAGGAAUCGGGAGCUGCCCCACUGUCGUUCCCCAAGUCCAUAAACCAGGGGUGAGGAACCUUUUCUCUGCCCAAGGUCAUUUGUAUAUUUAUAACAUCAUUCGUGGGCCAUACAGAAUUGCCAACUU